UCAGCUCGUGUUGUGAAAUGUUGGGUUAAGUCCCGCAACGAGCGCAACCCUUAUCCUUUGUUGCCAGCGGUCCGGCCGGGAACUCAAAGGAGACUGCCAGUGAUAAACUGGAGGAAGGUGGGGAUGACGUCAAGUCAUCAUGGCCCUUACGACCAGGGCUACACACGUGCUACAAUGGCGCAUACAAAGAGAAGCGACCUCGCGAGAGCAAGCGGACCUCAUAAAGUGCGUCGUAGUCCGGAUUGGAGUCUGCAACUCGACUCCAUGAAGUCGGAAUCGCUAGUAAUCGUGGAUCAGAAUGCCACGGUGAAUACGUUCCCGGGCCUUGUACACACCGCCCGUCACACCAUGGGAGUGGGUUGCAAAAGAAGUAGGUAGCUUAACCUUCGGGAGGGCGCUUACCACUUUGUGAUUCAUGACUGGGGUGAAGUCGUAACAAGGUAACCGUAGGGGAACCUGCGGUUGGA
rnacentral:rRNA from 1 species